rnacentral:misc_RNA from 1 species
UGCUAUCUUGAGUCACGUAGUAUUCUAUUUUUGUUUAUAUAUUCAGAGUUCUUUGAAUAUCCGUGCUAUUUGGUAUCUUCUCGCCGCAUGGCUCGCAUCUUUAUUUUUGUGCCCUUGAGUUUUCUGUUUCAUUUCUUUUGGCUCGGAAUGUCGUGACUUGCGACAUGAUUUUCAAUAAAUUUUAUUAGUAACGCACAGGUUGUUAUAAAUAUUCAUUAUUUUUUGAGUGAUACAGCAAUGGGUCACAAUGUAACAUUUUGCAGCAAUAUGAAUGUCUACUCAAUAUGGAAUUUUUUUGGCCACGAGACAUCAUCUCGAAGACGACACA